rnacentral:rRNA from 1 species
GACGAACGCUGGCGGCGUGCCUAAUACAUGCAAGUAGAACGCUGAAACUUGGUGCUUGCACCGAGCGGAUGAGUUGCGAACGGGUGAGUAACGCGUAGGUAACCUGCCUGGUAGCGGGGGAUAACUAUUGGAAACGAUAGCUAAUACCGCAUAAGAGUAGAUGUUGCAUGACAUUUGCUUAAAAGGUGCAAUUGCACCACUACCAGAUGGACCUGCGUUGUAUUAGCUAGUUGGUGGGGUAACGGCUCACCAAGGCGACGAUACAUAGCCGACCUGAGAGGGUGAUCGGCCACACUGGGACUGAGACACGGCCCAGACUCCUACGGGAGGCAGCAGUAGGGAAUCUUCGGCAAUGGACGGAAGUCUGACCGAGCAACGCCGCGUGAGUGAAGAAGGGUUUCGGAUCGUAAAGCUCUGUUGUAAGAGAAGAACGAGUGUGAGAGUGGAAAGUUCACACUGUGACGGUAUCUUACCAGAAAGAGACGGCUAACUACGUG